CAGUUGCCCUUGCUCUGGCUCCAAGCUGCAUCCAGGUUCUUUGCAGUCAGAGUCACCAGCUCUUUGCUCUCCGCAGGCUUGUACCUGCUCCAGCUUCUUGCAAACCAGGUCCAGGAGCUCGGUGUAGGAGAGGCCUGGCUCUGCCCUCAGGGCAACCGUGUACUUGUAAUGCACCUUGAGGACGAAGGGGCUGGAGCACGACCUUCUGAUGCGCUGACCCUGCCCAGGAGUGUGUGCAUUCCAGCCAAACUCCUAUUUCUCCCUUCUCAAGUGCCUCAGGUCAACUAAGAUGUUGCAACUGCACCAGGUUAACUGAGAGUCCCAAAAAGCAGCUCUAGUUGUCUGGUAAAUGCAAGUUUGUGGUACCAACAGGACCUUGGGGUCUGCA